rnacentral:rRNA from 1 species
UACGUAGGGGGCAAGCGUUGUCCGGAUUUACUGGGCGUAAAGAGCGCGUAGGCGGAAGCUUAAGUGUGGUUUGAAAGCCCCCGGCUCAACCGGGGAAUGUGAUUGCAAACUGGGCUUCUUGAGGGGGAUAGAGGAGAGUGGAAUUCCUGGUGUAGCGGUGAAAUGCGUAGAGAUCAGGAGGAACACCCGUGGCGAAGGCGGCUCUCUGGGCCUUACCUGACGCUGAGGAGCGAAAGCGUGGGUAGCGAACAGG